UACAGAGGUCCCGAGCGUUGUUCGGAUUUACUGGGCGUAAAGGGUGCGUAGGUGGCCGGGAAAGUCUGAUGUGAAAGCCCCAAGCUUAACUUGGGAACUGCCAUUGAUACUGAUGGUCUUGAGUACAUUUGAGGUGGGCGGAAUGUGUCAUGUAGCGGUGAAAUGCUUAGAUAUGGCACAGAACACCGAUUGCGAAGGCAGCUCACUAAACUGUAACUGACGCUGAGGCACGAAAGCGUGGGGAGCAAACAGG
rnacentral:rRNA from 1 species